AUUCUGGUUGAUCCUGCCAGAGGUUACUGCUAUCGGGGUCCGACUAAGCCAUGCGAGUCGAGAGGGUAAAGCCCUCGGCGCAAUGCUCAGUAACACGCGGAUAACCUGCCCUUGGGUCCGGGAUAACCCCGGGAAACUGGGACUAAUACCGGAUAGAUCAAAGAUACUGGAAUGUUCUUUGGUCCAAAACUCCGGUGCCCAAGGAUGGGUCUGCGGCCUAUCAGGUAGUAGUGGGUGUAACGUACCUACUAGCCUACGACGGGUAAGGGUUGUGAGAGCAAGAUCCCUGAGAUGGAUUCUGAGACAUGAAUCCAGGCCCUACGGGGUGCAGCAGGCGCGAAACCUUUACACUGCGGGAAACCGCGAUAAGGGGACCCCGAGUGCCAGCACCUAGUGCUGGCUGUCCUGCUGUCUAAACAACAGUGGUUAGCAAGGGCCGGGCAAGACCGGUGCCAGCCGCCGCGGUAACACCGGCGGCCCGAGUGGUAGCCGCUAUUAUUGGGUUUAAAGGGUCCGUAGCCGGCCUAUUAAGUCUCUUGGGAAAUCUGGCGGCUUAAUCGUCAGGCGGCCAAGAGAUACUGGUAGGCUUGGGACCGGGAGAGAUGGGAGGUACUCCAGGGGUAGGGGUGAAAUCUUGUAAUCCUUGGGGGACCACCGAUGGCGAAGGCAUCCCAUCAGAACGGGUCCGACGGUGAGGGACGAAAGCUGGGGGCACGAACCGGAUUAGAUACCCGGGUAGUCCCAGCUGUAAACGAUGCUCGCUAGGUGUCAGGUGCGGUGCGACCGCAUCUGGUGCCGCAGUGAAAACUUGAAGCGAGUCACCUGGGAAGUACGGUCGCAAGGCUGAAACUUAAAGGAAUUGGCGGGGGAGCACUACAACGGGUGGAGCCUGCGGUUCAAUUGGAUUCAACGCCGGAAAGCUUACCGG
rnacentral:rRNA from 1 species